AGCCAAUUGGUAUCAGCGAUUGGAACUCCAUAUUUUGGAUAGCUCACCCAGGUGGUCCAGCCAUUCUCGACCAGGUUGAAGCAAAACUUAGUUUAAAACCUGAAAAGAUGAGAGCAACCAGGCAUGUUCUAAGUGAGUAUGGAAACAUGUCAAGUGCUUGUGUGUUGUUUAUCUUGGAUGAGAUGAGAAAGAAGUCUUUAGAGGAAGGGAAAGUCACCACCGGAGAAGGAUUAGAGUGGGGUGUUUUGUUCGGUUUUGGGCCUGGUCUAACGGUGGAAACUGUCGUGCUGCACAGUGUCUCCACAUGAGGCAGGAACUCAAUGAAUCAAUUACUCUAAUGGAAGAUAAUAAGAACAAGACUUGCUGGAUUUUGUGGUAGACAACUGAAGGUAGAAAUGAAAAAAAAAACAUAUAUAUAUAUUAUUAUAAGAAGAAGUCUGGUCGGUUUAUCAGUUGAAUGUGUGUAUUAUUGCAAUAAAUUCUUAUUUUGUUUUUAAUUAUCAACUCUUGAAGUCUAAAUUUCACUUUUGUCCUUCAAACUUUAAAUUGUAUCACAAAAUACUUCAAUUUCAAUUUAAGAUAAUUGAUAAUGUUCUCAAUCCAAUUACCAAUCUACCCUUACAUUACAAGCUACAUAUAAAAAAAAAUUACUACAUAAUAUUUAUAAUAUGAAAAAAAUUUAUUAGGUAGUAUUUUUAUUUUAAAAAAUAUAUUAAAAUAUUUUUAACGUUUUAAAAAAUUUAUUAAUUAUUUAUUUUAUUUAUUUUAUCAGUUAUAUAAUUAGUUAAUUUAAUCUAUAAUUAAAAGUUGGAUUCAGAUUAGUGCAACUGCUUAUCCUAUUUUUAUAAUGGAAUACAACUAUUUUAUUAGAUAUUUUUAAUAUUAUAUAUUAAAUUAAAUAUAUUUUAUAGUGAAUUAAUUAUUUAAGCUAACCAAAAAAAUUACAAUUUUAUUACUCCAUUAAUAUUAAAAAAAUACCAUAGAAUUUUAUUAAAUUAAUGUAAUUGAUUGACAAUACUUUCAGGAAUCAAUUAAUUAUAUAAAUAAAAAUUAUAACAAUAAUCUUUUAUAUUUUUUAUAUUAAAUAUAUCAUGGACUAAAUCUAAAUAAAUAUUUUUAAAAAUUUUUAAUAUAAUUAUUCAUAAUAUUAAAAAUUGGCACGCCCUCUAACCGUGGGCUGUGAGCCCAUGAGCUAGCUCUAAUGCUGGGCUCAGUCCUCAAUUGUAAUUUAGUGUAUGAGAUAUUAUAAAUAUUAUUUUUUCAAUUUCAUAAUUUUCGCUCACUUUAUUAUUUUAUAAAUAUUAAAAAAAUAAUUUUUUAUUAACUUUUCAUUUAUAUCCAUUUUAAAAAUAUUAAAUUUUAUUAAAUAUUAAAAAAUAUUUUGAUAAAUUUCUUAAAAAUAAAAUAAAAUUAAAUAAGAUUAUAAUAAUUAAUUUAUAUGUUAUUAUAGUAUAAAAAAAUAAAAAAACUAAUUAGUUAUCAGUUUUUUUAAAAAUUUUAAGAAUAAUUUAACAUAUUUUUUUAAAAUUAUGAAUCCAAUUAAAAUUUUUAUUAUUUUGUACAUAAAUAAAACAUUAAAAAUUAAUUAUUAAUAACUUGGCAUGGUAGGUUUUCAGGUUAUCAACAUCUCUAUCCAUACUCCUCCCUCUUUUACAUAUUUUAUAUUUAAUUAAUUUAUAAUUAUUUAUUCAUAUAAUUACUUUAUUUUUAAUAAAUUUUAUUAUUAAAUUCUAUAUAAUAUGUUUGCUAUUUAAUAUAAUUAUUUGAAUUUAAAAUUAAAAACAAAAACUUAUUAUACAAAAUAUAUAAGAGUUUAAAAAAUUUACAUUUAGCUAUAGUUAAAAGUUAAUUAUUAAGAUUUUUUUUAAAAUAUAAAAUAUAAAUAUUAAAAUUAAUUAUUUUAAAUGUUUGAUAUAAAUAAAACGAUUGAAAAUUCUCAUCGCUGAGAGUUAAAUUUUAUAAAUAAUAGUAAAUUUUUGAAGUAAUUAUUUAAUUGCAUAUGUAAUUUGAUGUAAAUAAAAAAUUUUAUUUCAAUAUUAAUUAAAGAUUAUUUAAAAAUAAAAUAAAUUAAAAUUAUUUGUAUUAAAAAAUUUAAGAAUUGAAAUAUUAUAUAAAACGAAACCUUAAACAUUGAGUAUCUGAUAUUUUAAUUGUCUAAGUAUUAUAAAAUUAAAAAAACUGAGUAGUUAAUUAAAAAAACUGAUAUUUUAAUUGUACAAGUAAAUAUUUUAGAAAUAUAGAGUUAUAUCUUAUUACUAAUUAUAGAUUUUUUUAAUAGUUAAUUUGAAUGAUUUUAAAAUUUAAAAAUUUAAUAGUUUAAUUUUAAAAUUAUAAAAAUUGAUUUGUUAAUUAUAUUAAAAUUUAGAGAGUAAAAUAUAUUUUAUUUUAUUUUUAAUCAGCUAAGUAAUUUCAUUUAUUUAAAUAUCAUAAAAUUAAGAUUGAAAAAUAAAACAAUUCCUAAGUCUAACAAAGAUUUUAAUGUAUAUAGAUUUUUAGUUUUAUCUUUUUACAUUUUCAAUUUUUUUACAUAUGUAAAAAUUUUCAUAUACAAGGAUUAAAUUCUGAUAAAGAAACUAUAAAGAGUAUUUUUAAUAAGAAAGUUAAUUUUAUUUUCUUUUAGCUACCGCAAAAUUAAGACUGAUAACAAAGCAACACCAAAAUCUAACAUAGAUUUUUAAAAAGGGUCUCAGCCUGAUUUUGAGAGAAAUUCUUCUUUUCUUUUGGACGGAAGUAAGUCUAUAAUUUCUUGAUGAUAUUAUUUGAGUUUUUUUUUUUAAAUCUUUUAUAAAAUUAAUGAGUUUUACAUUUUGUUUUAAAAAAUCGAGUCUUGUUUUUUUGAGUCUAGCUUUUGGGAUAUUCAGAACUCAUCCUUUCUUCUCUGUGAUCCUUCCUUUGUUGUUGCGUUCAUGUGCCCGGCCCUCGACGGAACUCCUAAGGACUUUCGCUUAAACAUAACAUAACAUAUUCAUAAUGGCAGGGGUAUAGAAUAGACAAGCCCUGGUCUUUUCCUUACAUUGUGUCAGGGGCGUAGAAUGGGCAAGUCCUGGUCUUUCCGUAUCAUAUCAUAUCAUAGCAUCUCGAGAGCUAGUGGGUCAUCCAAUAUCCAUCCACAUCAACAGUAAAUUAUGCAAUGCAUCAUAUUCGUGAGCUCUAAUGCAAACAGCCUAAUACAUAAAUAUGACAUUCGUGAUGCGUGAACAUGCUUAAAAAGUUUGAUUACUUUAAAACAAUAUAUUAAUUUAGUUCUACUCACCUCUGGCUGAAGCUUGCCUAACAAAAUGCAGCUAACUCACUGCAGGCCUCUACGGUCUCCCAGGUUCGAUCCUACACAGAUGGACUCAAAUGAGGGACCAAACAUGACUCUAAACAACUCCCCAAUAACCCCUUUAAACAUACCAAAAUGUGCACAUAAAACAAGUAAAGGAAGGCUGGGUAGGAGACUUUCGGCGGCAGGUUCGGCGGCCGAAGGUCCCUCACCGAUCCGAAAGUUAGGGACUUUUGGGGGCAGGUUCGGCGGCCUAAACUCCACACAGAUCCGAAAGUCAGGGACUUUCGGGUGCGGGUUCGGUGGCCGAAACCCCAUCACAGAUCUGAAAGUCAUGCGUUCAGGGGCAGGUUAGGCGGCCAAAAGGCUGCCUCCGACGGUCGAACCUGAGUUCUUCAGCAAGGCAGAACUCGAUUAUGCCCAAUACAUACAGCCACCCAACUCUUCAAAAGCAUACAUACUCACUCAUCAUGCAUAAGGGGCAUAAAAACUAGCCUAAACCCCAACAAACAACAACAAAAACUCAUAAGAGCAAAUAUUCAUCAUCAAAGCUAACACAAACCCUAAAACUUUUAGAUCUAAUCAUUUCAUGCAUUUUUAACCCCUUGACCCUUCUUAAAACUUAAUUAAAACAUAAGAAAACAAGGGUCUAGGCUUACCUCUUGGAGAUCUAAGAGUAGCAGCAACCCAAACUUGGAGAUGAAAGAAAAAUGAUCUCCGAAGGUCUCAAAGGUUUAAAAACUCAGAUUCAAGCUCAAAUCUUCAAAAACAAAACAAAACUCAUGAAUUUCUUAAGAGAUUUGAAGGAAAAACCACAAAAGCAUCAAAGGGUAGCAAAGACUCACCUCUGCCCGAAAAUGGAGAGAAAAACUCUCUCACUUUCGGGCUGAAGGCCUCUUAUAGGUGGCUAGAUAAACCACCUUAGGGGACCGAAAGAGGAGAUCCCGCGGCGGCACCACCUUCGGCGGUCGAACCUGGUUUUUCCUCUCCAAAACUAUUUUCUUUCUUUCUUAAAACCUUAAAAUUUUCAAAUCCAUUUAAUAAAAACCUUAUUUUACCCUUCCUAAGGAGAUUCCAGCUUCGAGAUUCUGGGUUCCAACGGAGAUUCAGUCGGAAGGUUGGAAUUCCGACGCCGGAGUCUAGCCGGGUAUUACAACCUGUUAGGGAAAUAGAGUCUGAAAUUAAAGUAUUGCUAGGAACUAGACCUAUCUCUAUUCCUCCCUACAGGAUGGAACCUGCCAAGUUGAAAGAUCUAAAGGAACAGUUGCAAGAGUUAGUAGAUAAGGGUUUCAUCCAACCUAGUAUCUCACAUUGGAGUGCUCCAGUGUUGUUUGCGAAAAAGAAGGAUGGAUCUCUAAGACUCUGUAUUGACUAGAGGCAUUUGAACAAAGUCACUACCAAGAAUAAGUAUCCUUUAUUCUGGAUUGAUGAUCUAUUUGACUAGCUAGUAGGAGUCGGUUGUUUGUCUAAGAUAGAUUUGAGAUCCGAGUAUCAUCAGUUGAGAAUCAGAGAAGAAGACGUGCCUAAGAUAGCUUUCAGGACCAUAUAUGGGCAUUAUGAGUUCCUAGUGAUGUUGUUCGGGCUGACCAAUGCCCCUGCAACAUUCAUGGAUCUCAUGAAUAGAGUUUUCAAACAGUUUUUGGAUCACUUUAUUAUUGUCUUUAUUGAUGAUAUCUUAGUGUAUUCCAAAAAUGUAGAGGAGCAUGCCCAUCAUCUAAGGAGGGUAUUGCAGACCUUGAGAAAAUAUGAGUUGUAUGCCAAGUUCUCUAAAUGUGAGUUUUGGUUGAGGUGUAUCUCUUUUUUGGGGCAUGAAGUAUCAAAAAAUGGAAUCUAGUUAGACCUUAAGAAAGUAGAAGCAGUAGCUAACUGGUCCAGACCCACUAUGGUAACAAAGAUUAAAAGCUUUUUGGAUUUAGCAAGUUACUACAGGAGAUUCAUUCAAGAUUUCUCCAAAAUAGCUACUCCUAUAACCAGGUUGACCCAGAAGAAUCAGAAGUCUGUCUGGUCAGAUUAGUUUGAGGAGAUUUUUCAAGAGUUAAAGAGAAGGUUGACGUCAACACCAAUGUUAGCUCUGCCUACAAGUAAUAAGAAUUUCACAGUGUUUUAUGAUACAUCCUGAGUGGGACUAGGUUGUGUAUUGAUCCAGAAUGAUAGGGUAAUUGCUUAUGCUUCUAGACAGUUGAAGAAGCACGAGUUAAAUUUUUCAACACAUGAUCUAGAGAUGGUAGCUGUGAUCUCUACACUCAAGAUGUGGAGGCACUACUUGUAUAGAGUGAAGUGUGAGAUCUUUACAGAUCAUAAGAGUUUGCAAUACAUCUUGAGUCAGAGAUAGUUGAACGUGAGGCAAAGGAGAUGGGUAGAACUGCUUAGUGAUUAUGAUUGCAAAAUCCAGUAUCAUCUGGAUAAAGCAAAUGUAGUAGCAGAUGCUCUUACCUAGAAAUCACUUGGUAGUUUAUCCCAUAUCUCAGUGGAAAGGAGACUGAUCGUGAAAAAGUUUUACAGGCUUGUUAGUGAAGGUUUACAGAUGAAGUUAUUUGGUACAGGUGCUUUGGUGGUACAAAUGAAAGUGACACUUGUGUUUCUGGAACAAGUGGCACAGAAACAGUACGAGGACCCAGAGUUGGUGAAAAUAGUAAGAGCAAUUCAACAAGGUAAGAAUGGGAUUUCAGGUUUGAUAACAAUGGGAUUCUCCAUUAUGGAAAUAGAUUAUGUGUACCAGAUAACAUAAACUUGAAGGGAGACAUUAUGAGAGAGGCUCAUAAUGCCAGGUACAGUGUCCUCCUGGGAGCUACCAAGAUGUAUCAGGAUAUGAAAAAAGUGUAUUGGUGGCCUUCUAUGAAGAGAGAAGUGGCUCAGUUUAUGGUUUUAUGUGAAGUGUGUCAGAGGGUGAAGUUAGAGCAUCAGAAGCCAGCUGGAAUAUUCAACUCACUACCGAUUCUAGAAUUAUAACGACCCGGAAAUCGGACCGCUAUCGGCGCUAGGAUCCAGAUCGGCUUAAGGCCGCCGGGACCCGUAGCAAGCCUGACAUACAUCCUGUACAGCUGGUAUAAUCCCAUACAUAAUCAAACAUAAACAUAAAACUUUAAAAUCUUUCAUACACCAAGCUUGAUUCGUAUGCUACAUAACUGGAAACAUAAAAGAACCCCAUGCUAGAGCCCUCAACAAAAGCUCUAGCAGAGUCAACAUAACAUACAUCAAGCUUGGAUCACAUCCGAUGAACUAAAACCUAACCUGUGCAUGUAUCAAAACCAUAAACAUAAAACCUCCACUAGAGUCCUCAUCAAAUACUCUAGCGUGAUAAACGUCACAUGCCACAAGUUUGGUUCAAACACAACUCAUCACUAAAACAUUACAUACAUCAUGUACUAAAAAGGGACUAACUAAGCCUUAGGGCCAAGCACAAUACUAAUCCAUAAAUAUAACUCUACUUUACGUUACAUUACAUCACAUUAUCUUACAAUACAUUAUAUCAAUUUACAUUACAUGUCCACACCAAAACACUAAUCUAUUACAUAAGCAUGACAUUACCCUUGAUGUCUUCCUGGACUACCUUUGACCUGCAAACCUGGGGGUUAGGGGAAAGGGGUGAGCUAAAAAGCCCAAUGAGCAGAACAGGGAAAACAAUAAUAAAUCAUAUGCUAUCAUGGAAUGCAUCACAGCACAAACAUUUCACAUCACGGAUGGACAUGACCACCAAAACUCCCUCUGUCUGUGCCCGGCCCUCGAAGGAGCUCCUCAGGACUUCUGUAACAUAUCAUAGUGCCCGGCCCUUCGGGCUCCUUAGAACUUCAUUAUGCCCGGCCCUUCGGGCUCCUCAGGACUUUAUUAUGCCCGGCCCUCGAUGGGGCUUCUCAGGACUUCAUUAAUAUAUCAUAUCUAGGGCUAUUGGGGUCGCCUUGGUCCAUCCACAUCAACAGCAAAUUAUGCAAUGCAACAUCUUCGUGAAAUCUAAUGCAACAGCCUAAUACAUAUACAUGGUAAUCAUGAUGCGUGAACAUGCUUAAAACAUUUGAGUUAGUUCUACUCACCUCUGGCAGACGCUGGACUGACUCUGCAACAGCUAACUCUGCUGGCCUCCUCGGUUCCUCGGGUCCGAUCCUACACAGGUGGACUCGAAUGAGGUGCCAAACAUACUCUAAACAACUCGUAAACAACUCCCCAAAAACUCCCCAAAAACCCCCUCAAACAUCCUCAAAACAUGCAUAGAAAACAACCAUGAAAGGGCUGGACAUGGCACUUUCGGCGGCCAAAUGUCCCUUCCAUAGCCGAAAGCCAUGCAGGUUCGGGGGCACUUUCUGCGGCCGAAAGUCCUUCCAGAGCCGAAAGUAUGGCACCUUCGGCGGCAGGUUCGGCGGCCGAAGCCUCUCACAGAUCCGAAAGUCCUGGCCUUUGGGGGCACAUUAGGCGGCCAAAGCUGCCUUCCAUGUAGGUUCGGCAGCCGAACAUACCUUCGGCGGCCAAACCUGGUUCCCUCCGAACAGCAGGUCCGAAUCCGACACAAGUAAAACCAACCUCCAAACCACCCAAAACCUCACAUGCUCUCUCCCAAACAUGCAAACAUACUCCCACAUGCAUAUAGGGGCAUAAACUAACUUAAACCCCCAAUAUAACAUCAUAUAAACAAACAUUGGGCAUAAAACCCACAUAAACCUAAACAUGCACAUCUACUCUAUCCCAUGCAUCAAAACUUCUUAAAACUUACUUAAAACUUUAUGAAACAUAAAGGAAAGCAAGGAUCUACACUUACCUCUUGAAGAUCGAGGAUUGGUACAAUCCUAACUUGAAGAUAUGGAGAAUCCAAGCUCCAAAAAUCUCCAAGCUCCAAAACUUCUAUCUAAGCUUUAAAACUCUUCAAAACAACCGUAAAACUUAUAAAAACCUUGGGAUAUUGAAGGAAAGACAUGAAAUCAACCAAAGGAGGCAUGAACUCACCUAUGACCGAAAUGGGGAGAGAAAACUCGCCCAUUUUCGAUCUGGGGGCCUUUUAUAGGUGGCUGAGCAGAACACCUUCGGAAGCCAAACCUGCUUCCGAAACACCCCCAUGUUCGGCGGCCAAACUUGAGGUUCGGCGGCCGAACCUGGCUUCUUCCCUCAAAGCCUUCGGAGGCCUAAAGCACUCUCGAAACAGCCCCAUGUUCGGCGGCCGAUCAUGAGGUUCGGCGGCUGAACCUGGGUCCUUCCUCCUUGGCCUAUUCUUUUCAAAACUCCAUUUCUUUUCCAUUUAAAACCAUAAAAACAUGUGAAAAUAUUUUAGAAAACAAAUUUCACCCUUCUAGAAGGCUCCGGCAUUCGAGAUUUUCGGAUUUCAACGGAGAUUCCGCCGGAAAGUCGGGAUUCCGAUGCUAGGAUCUAGCCGGGUAUUACAAGAAUGGAAAUGGAAAAACGUGGCAAUGGAUUUUGUAGUGGGGUUACCAGCAACGUCCAACAGACACGACUCUAUAUGGGUAAUAGAGGACAAAUUGAUCAAAUAUGUUCACGUUAUUCCUGUCAAGAGUGGUUACUCUGUAGAUAAAUUGACACAAAUCUACGUGAAAAAAAUCCUCAGACUGCAUAGAGCUCUAGUUUCUAUAGUAUCAGAUAGGGGACCCCAGUUUACCUCCAGAUUUUGGCAGAGUCUGCAUAAUGCUAUGGGCACAAGAUUAGAUUUUAGCAUUGAUUUCCAUUGACAGAUUGAUGGACAAUCAGAAAGGACCAUCCAAACCAUAGAGGACAUGUUAAGAAUGUGUGUGCUAGACUUUGGUGGUUCUUGGAGGCAACACCUACCCUUAGUAGAAUUUGCCUAGAAUAACAGUUACCAUGCUAGUAUUGCGAUGGUUCCAUAUGAAGUUUUAUAUGGGAGGAAGUGCAUGUCACCUAUUUAUUGGGAAAAAGAGGGAGAAAAUGCCUUAGCAGGGCUAGAGUUACUAGAUAUCACCAACAGGGUAGUGCCCAUCAUUAAAGAAAGAAUCAAAACAGCUUGAUUAGGCAAAAGAGCUAUGUAGACAUCCGUAGAAAGCAAGGUGUCUUUCAAGAGGGAAAUAUGAUAUUGCUUAAGGUGUCUCCUUUGAAAAGGGUGAUUCAGUUUGAAAAGAAAGGUAAACUAGCUCCAAGGUACAUCGAACCCUUUGAAAUCUUGCAAAAGAUUGGGAAUGUAUCUUACAAGUUAGAUUUAACUGCUUCCAUGGAGAGAAUCCAUCCGAUUUUUCAUGUUUCUAUGUUAUGGAGAUUUGUGUUAGAUCCAGACAAGGUUCUUAGUGAGCCUGAUGUAAAGAUCCUAGGAGAUCUCACCUAUGUUGAGCAACAAGUAUGGAUUGUAGACACACAAAUCAAAAAGCUGAGAAAUAAGAAAAUUACGAUGGUGAAAGUUUUAUAGAAUCACCACAAUAUGGAAGAGUGUACCUGGGAGAUCAGAGAGUCGAUGCUUAAGAAGUACUCUCAUCUCUUUUAAAGUAAGUUGUUAGAUGGUUUUAUGUCUUUUCUUGAUAUGUAUGCUAUGUUUGCUUAUAUGGUUGAACAUUCGAGGAUGAAUGUUCUUAAAGUGGGAAGCAUGUAAUACCCGACUAAACUCCGGUGUCGAAAUUUCAACUUUCUGAUAGAAUCUCUGUUGGAAUCCGAAAUAUCAAAACUAGAAUCUUUAGAAGGGUAAAAUAGAUUUUUUAUAAAAUGAAUUUGAAGUCUUUUAUAAUGUAUUUUUUUUUAAAGAAAAGAGUUUUUCAAGUUAUCAAGGUUCGGCCGCCGAACCUCUCAUGUUUGGCUGCUGAACAUAUACUGGCAGACCCAUCUAUAAAAGAGUCUCAGUCUGCUUUUGAUAGAAAUUCUUCUCUUCUUUUAGGCAGAGGUAAGCCUACGAUCCCUUGAUGAUUUUGUUUGAGUUUUCUUCAAAUCUCCUAGAAAAUUCAUGACUUUUAUCUUCUAUUUUGAAGAAUUGAUUCUCAUUUUUUCGAGUCUAGCUUUUGGGAUAUUCAGAGCUCAUCCCUUCUUCUCCGAGAUCCUUCUCUUGUUGUUGCAUUUGUGUGUUCUUCAAGAAGUAAGCUUGUUUUCUCAAAAACUUAUUAUUUUGGGCUAAAUGUGAGUUGUGUGAGUUGGAGCUGUUGUUAUGAGAAUUCAUGCAAGGCUGGUGUCUUUUUCUUUUUUUAUGAUUGAACCUUGAAUGUUUAUGUGAUGAGUGGUUUGCAUGUUGGUUUUGGUGUAUCUAGAGUUUUUCUAAACCUUUUAAGUCAACAAUGGAUGUUUUUAUUGCUGUUAAGUUGUUGCAUGUGAGUUCUAUUAUGUUUUGAUGGCUAUGGGCUGAGGCAGAAUCGGGUUCUUCAUUAUAGAAAAACUCAGGUCCGGCUACCGAAACAAGGUUCGACCGCUGAAAUUGCUUGUGAAGAUAGCCUUUUGGCCGCCUAACCUACCCCCGAAGGUUUGACCUUCAGAUCUGUAAGGGGACUUUAGGCCGUCGAACCUGCCGUCGAAAGUUCUUUGUCCAACCUUUUUCAGCUUGCUUUAUACAUGUUUUCUUAUAUGUUUAUAGGGGUUUCUUAGUGUAGUUUUGAGUGUUGUAAAAGUUAUGUUCGAUCCCUCAUUUAAGUCCAUCUAUGUAAGAUCAGACUUAGGAGACCGUAAAGGCUUGCAGUGAGAUAACUGUUUCAGAGCUAAGCUUCCGUCAGCCAAAUGUGAGCAAAACUAAACUAAACUAUUAUUUUAAAGAAAUUAAACGUUUUAAGUAUGGUUAUGCAUCAUCAAUUCCAUUUAUAUAUUUAGGUUAUUUGCAUUAGAAUUUAUGAAUUUGAUACAUUGCAAUUAAUUGUUGUUGUGGAUGGAUGUUGGAUGACCUACUAGCCAUCGACCAUGCUAUGAUAUGUUAUGACGGAUAUAGAAAGAUUAGGAUGCCCAUUCUAUACCCCUGACACUAUGUAAAGGAGAGACCAGAAUUGCGCAUUCUACACUCUUGGCACUAUAGAUAUAUUAUUUUAUAUUUAAGAGAAAGUUCUGAGAAGUACCCGUUGUGGGCCGGACGCAAUUGAAAUUAUGAAGGGUUACUGGUGAGAAGUCCAUCUUGAUGUGAAUUAUCUGUGUUAUGAUACAUUCAUACGAUCAUAUGUUUUAUUAAACUGUUUUUAUUUAUGUUUCUGCUCAUUAGGAUCUUAUAGGUUAUCCCUUUCCUCUAACCCUAGGUGUGCAUGACCAGAGUUAGCUCGGGAGGUCGCAGAGUUAUUUAGUACAGUUCUGAUGUAACAAUAUAGCCCUGGACAUGUAAUAAUUUAUGGAUUAGAAUUGUAUUUUGCCCGAGUUUCCUUUUUAUAAUCCCUUAUUUAUGAUUUUUUAUAUAAAAGUUUUAAAGGUACAACUUUGAUAUAAUAGUAUAGCCGUUGAGAUAUAAUAAUUUGUGAAUUAGAAUUGUGUUUUGCCUGAAUUUUUUUUUAUAAUUCUUUAUUUAUGAUUUUUUUAUAUAAAAGUUUUAAAGUAUAAGUUAUAUUUCAAUAAAAUUUGAGGCAUGUAAUAUUAACUAUAUUGGAGUAUUUGAUGAGAAUUCUAGUAUGAGUUUUAUAUUUUCAGUUAUGAUACUCACAUAUUUGAUUCGGGUUCUAAUAUAAAUUUUAUAUUUUCAGUUAUGAUACACGUAUGUAUAUGUCAAGUAUAUUGGUUUAUGAGAUAAAAAUAUUUUAUACGCUUUUAUGUAUAUAUAUGGGAUUAUAUAAGGUAUAACAAGAUAUAUAGUAGACUUGCUACGGAAUCCAGCGACCUUAAGUGAAUUUAAAUUUUAACGCCGGUAGCAGUCCGAUUUCUGAAUUAUUAUAGAGACGAGUAAGUUAUUUUUUUAAAGAAAAUAUUUUAUAUUAACUAAUAUUUUUUUGAAUAUUUCAAACCUUAAAAAAUAUAAAAAUUAAUUUUAAAUUUUUUUUUCAUAGAACUAUAAUUUUAUUUUUCUUCUUGUAUCAUUUAUAUAUAUAUAAGUAAAAAAAUUUACUAUAAUGAAAUCCAUGAAAAACAUAAGGAAUCCAUCGCAAUCUAACUUUUGACAAGACACAACCUGAAGGGUGCAUGCUAAGAGAAAAAUACAAAGGAAGAGCAAAACAACGGACAAAAGCAAAAUCAAACAAAAACAAACUAACCAAACAAUUAGGACACGAAGCAGCAAAAAGUUAGGAUUACAUCAAAAAAUUUAAACGACUUUUCAGAGAAAAUCCCACCCUCUUUCCAAAAACUUUUUUAAUACUAAUGAAGUUUUUAUAAAUUAAUCUUAUUUAUAUCCUUUGUUUUUUUUAGCAUUACAAUUAAAUAAAAAUAAAUUUUGUUUCAAAAAUAUUUUACACACAUAAAUUAUUUUCUCGCCAAACAAUAAAGUUUAAUUAUAUAAAAAAUUUCAGAAAUUACGAGAAAGAAAAACCAAAAUUAAUUAUCUAUUGAAAAUUAAAUUUAGUGAGUUUGAAAUCUGAUUGAUCCAAUUAAUAUCAUAUAAAUAAAAUUAUUACUUAUAAUUAGUAUUUUCAUUAUCCUGAUUAAAGAUGAUAUCUUAAAAUUUGUAUAUCAAUUUUAUUUUUUUAAUUGUUAAAUUUAAUUUGAUAAGCCUUUAAUUGUUAAUUUGCAACAAAUAAUAUCGAAACAUUUAAGAUUCAUGAGAAUAAUUUAUAAAUAGAAAAUAUUUUUUAAAAAGUAAUUUAUUUUUUAUUAUUUAGUUGUCAUAUUAAAAGAAUUAAACAAUAUUAAUAUAAUUUAUUUUUUUUAAUUCAUUAAGAAAAUUUUUUCACUAUCUCCCAGACAAAAAAAAAAAAUUUUCCUGAAAGUUAUUGUCGGGGAGCUUUUGUUUUUUUUGAACAAUUUAUGCAUGUGGGAACACGUCUACCACUCGCGUGCCAUUAUUCCACCAAACCUCGCCAACCAGCUUCGCAUAUAUAAUCAGCACUUGAGGCUGCCAUUAUUCCACCAGACCUGGAGCUUUCUUUAAUUACUGCACAAUCAAAUUCCUUUGUUUAAUUUGUUUUCAAGUAAUUGAAUAUUAUCAAUGGCUGCAUCAGUAGAGGAGAUCAGAAAGGCCCAGAGAGCCCAUGGUCCUGCCACCAUCCUCGCCAUUGGCACCGCCACUCCCUCUAACUGUGUCAACCAGGCUGAUUAUCCUGAUUAUUACUUCAGGGUGACCAAGAGUGAGCAUAUGACUGAGUUGAAAGAGAAGUUCAAGCGCAUUUGUACGUUUAUUUUUCCUUUUAAAUCUUUUAUUGCUAGAUUUAAAUUCGAUUUUAUUUGAGAAUAAACUUUAUAAUUAAUAAAUAAUAAAUAUUUAUAUUGAAAUUUGACGUAAAAUUAAUUAAAAUAUAUGAACAUACAAAUUUAGAUAUAAUUUAAUGAUUAUUUACUUAUAGUUACAUAAGCUUGAGCUAACUAUUUAUUCAUAUAAAUUAAAAUGAAAAUCUACAUGUAGUCCAUUUCUCAUUAUUAUUAUCCUAUUUGUGGUAACAGGUGAUAAAUCUAUGAUUAAGAAACGUUACAUGCAUUUAACUGAAGAAAUCUUGAAAGAAAAUCCCAAUAUCUGCACUUACUGGGAACCAUCUCUUGAUGCUCGUCAAGAUAUUAUGGUGGUGGAGGUCCCUAAGCUAGGGAAUAAAGCAGCAACUAAGGCUAUAGAAGAAUGGGGCCAACCCAAGUCCAAGAUCACCCAUCUUAUUUUUUGCACAACCUCUGGAGUCGACAUGCCUGGUUACGACUACCAGCUCAUUAAGCUCCUUGGUCUUCGUCCCUCUGUCAAGCGAUUCAUGAUGUAUCAGCAAGGCUGCUUUGCCGGUGGGACGGUCCUCCGUCUAGCCAAAGACUUGGCUGAGAAUAAUAAGGGUGCUCGAGUUCUUGUUGUGUGCUCUGAGAUAACUGUUGUCACUUUUCGUGGUCCUGCUGAUACCCACUUAGAUUCCUUGGUGGGUCAAGCUCUUUUUGGUGAUGGAGCUGCAGCUUUAAUUGUUGGAGCCGAUCCUGACACUUCCAUCGAGCAUCCAUUGUUUCAACUUGUGUCUACAGCAGAAACAAUCCUCCCUGACUCUGAUGGAGCCAUUGAAGGACACUUACGAGAAGUGGGUCUCUCCUUUCACUUGCAAGACAGGGUUCCAAGUUUGAUUUCAAAGAACAUAGAGAAAAGCCUUGUAGAAGUAUUCAGUCCAAUUGGUAUCAACAACUGGAACUCUAUAUUCUGGAUAGCUCACCCAGGUGGUCCAGCCAUUUUGGACCAGGUUGAAGCAAAACUUAGUCUAAAACCCGAAAAGAUGAGAGCAACCAGGCAUAUUCUAAGUGA
rnacentral:lncRNA from 1 species